rnacentral:lncRNA from 1 species
GAAAAACCAAAAUUUUAAAAUUACAAACCGAAUCCAAUCCGAAAAACCAAAAAACCAAAAUCAAAAUUAAAUUUCGAUUUUUUUGGUUUAAACCAAAAUAUCCCCACCCCUAGGUGGAAGAAAGUAUGGUCAAGAAUAGAGAUGGAAUCCUAUUAGAAGAAGAUUUCCUAACAAAGGAUACCAGAAUGAAAAGGCUAUCACUCCUGAGAAGACAUGCAAUACAAAUCAAUUUCAAUCUCUAACAGAAGUGGAAAAAGAGAACAUAUAAGAGAUACUAAUAAUAUUAUUACAUCUGAUGAACCUCAACUUGUUAAUGAGAUGGUAAAGGGGAACUAUCCACCAAGGACUGGGUUGCCAUGUCAUUCCAUUGUAAAAGGAAAGAAAAUAUUAUGAAAAUCAACAGGCAGGAGGAAUCUGCAUAACAAAAGGAGAAAAACUUAAUAUAUGAUCAGAGGUAUAAUGUUGAAAUAAAGAACAAUUUACCUGAUAAUAGAGACCAGAGUCCAGUAGAUGAGAGAGAGCAUUUAUCCAUAAUAGGCAGCAACAUACAACUAACAAGAAAAAGAAAACAAAGAUCAGUUUACCAUCAAAAGUGAGUGUUUUAAUCAAAUUGAGAAAUCAGCAGAUAGAGAAGAUGCGUUUAAUCAAGAUCGGGAGAAUAAUAAACUUGACAUAGUUGACAUUCCAAUAGCAGUAGAAGAACAAGUUUGGAAUGGUAACUCAGAACCUCCCAAUAGUUGCAUAAUAUACUUACUCAUAAAGUAGGUGGUGUUGAGGAGAUUUGUGGUUUGUUAGAAGGGGGAGAGGAAGCAAACAUCAAACAUAUUCAAGAAGAGCAAAUUCGUAGUAGUAGAUUCAUCACCUAGAGCCGUUAAAUCUAUCAAGCAAUCAAAGAUAGGAAAAGAGUAAAGUAAUUGGGAGAAGACACUACCUUGCAGGUCUCAACCUAUGAGAGGGGGUGUAAACCAAUAGUUUUCUUUUAUAGCUCAUUUAGAACCAUUCCUGCCAGUCGGAUACAUAAAUAAAUGACUGCAAAAGCCUCUCAUGUUUCAUAAUUGUAAUGGUAAAGUUUGGUUUUAUGUGAAUAAGGGUUUUGAUGUUACGAUAAAAGAGAGAUACAGGACAAUUACUCUCUUUUCAAAUAUAUGACUAUGCCCUCCUGCUGACUCUAAUUUAUACAUGUGAUAGAAAUCAAAGAUUAGACCUUUAGGACAAUAUCUUUUCUAUACCCAAUGAAAGCUCAGGCCCUUGGUUCAUAGGAAGGGAUUUCAAUGCUAUCUUAAAUGCCUCAGACACAAUUAGAGGUUUGCCUAUUACUACUGCAGAAAUAGAGGACUUCAAACAUUAUGUUGAAUCUCGUGAUCUCAUUCAAGUUCAACAUAAGGGUAGCUAUUUACUUGGUGGAAUGGGAGAGCUAGGGAUGACUGUAAUUUUUUGAAAUUAAACAGACUUUUAUGAUGCUGGUUUUCAAAAUAUGUUUAAUUUAGAAGAGGUGGAACAUUUGGCUAGAGAUGAUUUUGAUCAUACUCUUUUAUUCGUAAGAUGUGAAAAUACUGCAGUUAGAUUCCAAAAACCUUUCAAAUUCCUAAAAUAUUGUAUUGAGCAUGUAAAUUUUAAGAAAGUAGUCAGAAUAUAGGGAUAGCGACGGUAGGCUGAGGGUUGGGUCUUGGAAUAUAGGGACCCUUCAGGGGAAGUCCAUAGAGCUGGUGAAGAUUCUUAGGAAGAGAAGGAUCAACCUUGCGUGUGUCCAAGAGACCAAGUGGGUAGGGUCCAAGGCUAGGGAUGUGGACGGUUACAAGCUGUGGUACUCUGGGAGCGACAGGCGUAGGAAUGGAGUUGGCAUCUUGGUAGAUGAAGAGCUUAGAGGUCAGGUAGUGGAGGUGAAGAGGAUCAACGAUAGGUUGAUGACUAUUAAGUUGGUCAUUCGGGGGUUUACCCUGAACGUGUGUAGUGCCUAUGCGCCGCAUGUGGGAUCGGAGGGGGAGGAGAAGAUGCGGUUCUGGGAGGCCUUGGAGGACGUGGUGAGAGGCGUGCCCAGUUCGGAGAAGAUUGUGGUAGCAGGGGAUUUCAACGGGCACAUCGGGGCGCUACCGGGAGGCUUUGGGGAUGUGCAUGGAGGUUUUGGUUUUGGGGAGAGAAAUGAAGAGGGGGCGACCCUAUUGGAGUUUGCGAGGGCGUUUGGGCUGGUGGUGGUGAACUCGGGCUUCCCGAAGAAGGACGACCACCUGAUCACUUUUCGGAGCGCGGUAGCCAGGACCCAGAUUGACUUCUUGUUGCUUAGGAAAGGGGAUAGGGCGCUGUGUAAAGAUUGUAAAGUCAUCCCGAGUGAGAACCUUUCGACCCAACAUAGGCUCUUGGUUAUGGAUUUGGGUAUGAAGAAGAAUAAAAAGAGGAGGAGUAAGGAGUGUAGACCGAGAAUUAAGUGGGGCGGUUUGACGCCAGUGAAUGCGUGGGAGAUAGGGGAGAGGUUGGCGGGAAUGGGGGUGUGGGAGUGUAGGGGGGACGUGGAUAAUAUGUGGGACAGGGCGGCAGCGUGCAUCAGGGAAAAUGCAAGGGAGGUGUUGGGUGUUUCUAGGGGCCGGGCCGGACAUCAUCGGGGGGAUUGGUGGUGGAAUGAAGAGGUGGGGAAGAAAGUGGAGACCAAGAAAGAGUCGUAUGCUAAGUUGGUGGAAAGUAAGGACGAAGAGGAGAAGCGGGUAAACAGGAAAGAGUACAAGCUAGCAAGGAAGGAGGCGAAGUCAGCGGUCACGGCAGCUAAGACGGCUGCUUUUGAGAGCUUGUAUGCAGGGUUACAGGGGAAAGGAGGGGAGAAAAAGUUGUUCCGACUCGCUAAGGCUAGGGAGAGGAAGGGUCGUGACCUCGAUCAGGUGCGGUGCAUUAAGGGGGAGGACGGUAGAGUGUUGGUGGAGGACGGCCACAUAAAGAAGAGAUGGCAGUCGUACUUUCAUAGGCUCUUGAAUGACGAGGGGGACAGAGCUAUUGUGUUAGGGGAACUGGAGCACUCAGGGGAGUGUCGGGAUUUUAGCUAUUGUAGACGUUUUAAGGUAGACGAGGUUAGACAGGCAGUCCGCAGGAUGCGAAGGGGUAGGGCGACGGGGCCGGAUGAGAUACCGGUGGAGUUUUGGAAGUUCGUUGGAGAGGCUGGUGUAAGGUGGUUGACUGCAUUGUUCAAUGAAAUUUUCAGGACAGCAAAGAUGCCCGAGGCGUGGAGGUGGAGUACCAUGAUCCCCCUCUAUAAGAAUAAGGGGGACAUUCAGUGUUGCAAUAACUAUAGGGGGAUUAAGUUACUGAGUCACUCUAUGAAGAUCUGGGAGAGAGUGGUCGAGGUGAGGCUGAGACGGAUAGUGUCUAUCUCGGAAAACCAGUUCGGAUUUAUGCCCGGCCGCUCGACGACGGAGGCAAUUCACCUGGUACGGCGGUUGGUGGAGCAAUAUAGGGAAAGGAAGAAGGAUUUGCACAUGGUGUUCAUCGACCUAGAAAAGGCGUACGACAAAGUCCCCAGGGAGGUGCUUUGGAGAUGCUUGGAGGUGAGUGGAGUACCGCAGGCAUAUAGCAGAGUAAUUAAGGAUAUGUAUGAGGGAGCGAAAACCCAGGUGAGGACGGCGGGAGGAGACUCAGAGCAUUUCACUGUCCUGACAGGAUUGCAUCAGGGAUCUACUCUUAGUCCCUUUUUGUUUGCGCUAGUAAUGGAUGUGUUAACGCGGCGUAUCCAAGGGGAGGUGCCGUGGUGUAUGCUUUUUGCAGACGAUGUAGUCCUGAUAGAUGAGACGCGAGGGGGUGUGAACGACAAAUUAGAGCUGUGGAGGCAAACUCUGGAGUCUAAAGGGUUCAGGGUGAGCAGAACCAAGACAGAGUAUGUGGAAUGUAAGUUUAAUGACGUAAGGCGAGAGAAUGAGGUAGUGGUGAGGCUAGAAGCGCAGGAGGUAAAGAAAAGGGAUAAGUUCAAGUACCUCGGGUCCGUGAUCCAGAGUAACGGUGAGAUUGACGAGGAUGUCUCGCACCGUAUCGGGGCGGGAUGGAUGAAGUGGAAACUUGCAUCGGGGGUGCUGUGUGAUAAGAAGGUGCCGCCCAAGCUUAAAGGUAAAUUCUAUAGGGUGGUAGUCCGUCCGGCCUUGCUGUAUGGAGCGGAGUGUUGGCCAGUUAAGAACUCCCACACCCAAAGAAUGAAGGUGGCAGAAAUGCGGAUGUUGCGCUGGAUGUGUGGACUGACCCGAAGGGAUAGAGCUCGGAAUGAGACUAUCCGGGAGAAGGUUGGGGUGACUUCAGUGGAGUGUAAGAUGCGGGAAGCACGAUUGAGAUGGUUCGGACACGUGAAGAGGAGGGGCAUGGAUGCCCCGGUCCGUAGGUGUGAGAGGCUAGCGUUGGAUGGUUUUAGACGGGGUAGGGGUAGACCGAAGAAGUACUGGGGUGAGGUGAUUAGGCGGGACAUGGAACAGUUACAGCUUACCGAGGACAUGUCCCUAGAUAGGAAGGGCUGGAAGACGCGAAUUACGGCAGAGGAUUAGGGCCUGUUCGGGUCGCUAAUGUAGGGAGGUAAUUGGUGGGGGUGUAUUCCUGGUAUGAUUCCGUAUUCAAUGUUCUGUUCCGUGUUCCGUGUUCUAUGUUUGUUACGAAUCUGUGUGCUUUCCUCUGCUUUAUAUUCCUGCAAUCCUGCUUUACUCUGUUUUAUAUUCAUUAUGGGUGCCGUAUCUAUGUUAUGUCAUCUGCUUCUGUGCUGUACUAUGUGUUUGUUUGAUAUCUCGUAACUUGAGCCGGGGGUCUUUCGGAAACAGCCUUUCUACUUCAUCAGAGGUAGAGGUAUGGACUGCGUACAUCUUACCCCCCCCAGACCCCACAAAGUGGGAAUACACUGGGUUUGUUGUUGUUGUUGUUGUUGUAGUCAGAAGGAACUGGGAUGCAGAAUCUACUGAUAAUCCUUUCAUGAUUUUCAAAAGGAAAAUCAAAAAGGUAAAAAAAGACCUUUCUGAGUGGAGUAGGCAGACAUUUGGGGAUAUAUUUCAACAAUUGAUAAUUAGGGAGGAAAUUGCUAAGUUGAAGGAAAAGUUAUUCAAAGAAUUCCCUUCAUAAGAAAAUUCAUCUAUCAUGUAGAAAGCAAGGGCUGAAUAUAUCAAGUAUCUUCAGUUAGAGGAAAGCUUCUGGCAACAAAAGGAUGGGUAUGGCUGGUUUAAGAGUGGAGAUAGAAAUACUAAGUUCUUUCAUAGUAUUGUCAAAGGAAGUAGCCACAGACUUAAGAUUACUAGAAUUCCCAAUGAAGUUGGCUGUUGGUUAGAAGAUGAAGCUUAGAUUGCUAAUGAGGCUAUAAAUUUUUAUCAGUAGUAGUAGUAGUUCACACAGGAGAGAGAUGCCACAAAUUUCCCUUUACUUGAUCAUAUUCCUGAUUUAAUUAUUGAAGAUGAUAAUUUGGUACUGGAGUCUAUCCGAGAUGAAAAAGAAAUUAAACAGGUUGUAAUUAAGUUAAAUAGGGACAAUACUAGUGGACCUGAUGGCAGGUUUUAUCAGGUUUGUUGGGACAUUAUUGGUGGAGAUGUUAUAAGAUUGGUUUGAGCUUCUUUGCCAGUAACACUCUUCGUAAAUCUAUUACUCAUACUAAUUUUAUUCUUAUACCUAAAAAGUACAAUGUGCAAUCCUUUUCAGAUUUGAGACUAAUUAGUCUUAGUUACUUUGUGAAUAAGAUCUUUUCUAGGAUUGUGCAUGAUAAAUUGGAAAGUAUUUUACCUAGAUUAACUUUCCCUAAUCAAUCAGGCAUUAAGAACUGAUCAGUAAUAUAGGGAAAAGAGAAAAGCAUUCUAAUGUGGUUUUAAAGCUAGAUAUGGCUAGAUAAAGCCUAUGAUAGGAUUUCUUGGUUUUUCUUGAUGAAAGUUUUGAAGGAAGUGGGCUUUCCUAAUUGAGUGAUUGAUGUUAUUUGGAGGUUGAUUUCAAAUACUUACUACUCUAUUUUAUUAAAUGGACAGUCAGUCGGUUUUUUUCACUCUACUAGAGGAGUUAAACAAGGAGACCCACUGUUCCCUGCACUCUUUAUUGUCUGUUGAAGUGAUGACAAGGGCUUUUAACCAGUUAUUUGAUGAUAACUCUUAUGUGGGGUAUGGUAUGCCUAAGUGGAGCUCUAAUUUAAAUCAUCUUACUUGUGCAAAUGAUACUUCGUCUUUUCAUCUUCUAAUGAUUAUUCUAUUAAAAAGAUAAAGAUUUUGCAAGAGUAUGAGCUUGAAUCUAGUCAAAAGGUGAAUAGGGAUGAGUUUUUCUACAUGCAUCAAAACACUCCUCCUAAUAUGGUGCAUCAGGUGGAACAAGUUACAAGGAUGAAUAGAGGCUCAUUUCCUCUAAAAUAUCUUGGAUGCCCUUUAACUCAUUCCAAGAAGAAAAAGGAGCAUUACGCUGAAUUGAUAGACAAUGUAAGUAAGCUACAAGUUUGGAUGGGCAGUUUGUUAAACUUCUUAAAAGUGUGCUUAAUACUUAAGAGUAUCCCAUUAUAUCUUAUAUCAGCAGUUGUCCCUCCAAAAAGUGUUCUUAAGGAAGUUCAGAAGAUCUUUACUAAAUUCUUUUAGCAGAAUAAAGAAAAAGGAAAAAGUAAACAUUGGGUUACUUGGAAUAAACUUUGUUUCACUAAGCAGGAAGGAGACUUGGGAUUUAGGUCCCUGACAAAUGUGUCUCAAGCUAUGCAUGCAAAGUUAUGGUGGAGAUUUAGAACUCAAGAGUAACUUGUGGAUAAAUUUUUGUGUGGAACAAGUACUGCAAGAAACAGCUGCCAGCACUACUGCAAUGGAGAGGUGGGUCCCAAGAGUGGAAGGCUAUGUUGAACAAUAGAGACAAAAUAAACAGUGUUUAUAGUGGGAGUCUAGAGGUGGAACAUCUACUACUUGGUUUGACAAUUGGACAACCACCGGUCCACUAUUUAUGCAGCAAUCAAAAGUGCAAACAUGUAACCCAUAGACUAACAUCUCAGAGUUCCUUAAUGCAGAUGGUUGGAACUAUGAAAUUAUGCAGGAUAUGGUGUCAGAUCAAGUAGUAAGUCGUGACAGAGAUAAUAUGAAUUUUGUAUGCUAUGAAGACAAAAUGGAUAAACCCUGGUGGAUCAUGAAUAGUACAGGUAAUUCACUACUAAAAGUGCUUGGGAUCUACUUAGGCAAAAAGCUGAUGAGGAUGUGGAUUUAAAGGCAAUCUGGAAUAAAGGAUUACCAUUUAAAUUGUCAUUAUUAAUCUAGAGUAUAUGGCUAGGUAUGAUCCCAGUUUCUACUUUGAUGCACAACUGGAUUCCAAAGAUUAUAGAGAGUUGGGUUUGUUGUAGCAAUCCAGAAAGAGAAACAAUUAUCCAUUUUUCCUUAAAGUGGAGGUUGUUGAAAGACUAUGGAGUCACUACUGUGUAGCAACUGAUUUAGUGGAGCAGAGAUUAAACUUGAAACAAAGUGUAAGAAUGUGGAGAAAUCAUGGUCAUAAUUGUAGAAUGAAGACUGUAUUCACUAUUGUACCUAUUAUCAUCCUUGGGUUCUUAUGGAAAAGAAGAAACAAUGUAUUAUUACAUAAAGGUGCCUAUCAUGACAGGAAGAUCAUCUGGGAAGUCAAUGAUACUAUUUUUAAAUCCAUAAAGGUUAGGUUCAGAAUGGAGAUAACAGGUAGAAAAUGGGAUAACAUAGUUGAUGAAAUUCAGAGCUACAGAACUUACCUUCUUUUAAGUUGGUUAAAUAGAUUCUUCCUAAAACUGGAUGGCUAAAUGGUAAAACUGAUGAUGCCUCUAAAGGCAAUCCUGGACCCAGCUCUAUUGCAUUUUGCAUAAGAGAUGAAGAUGGAGAUAUCGUGGUAGCAAAAGGAUCCAAAAUUAAGGAUACUACUACUUUGGUGGCAGAAGUUAUAGCUAUAAUAGCCACGUAAAUAAUUUUGGAAAGUGAUUCUUAGAUCAUGGUGCAAAUUCUUAAUCAAUAAUGGGAAGCCCCAUAGAGUGUGAUUGUGACUGACAAGUUAAUGCUAGGAAGUGACAUAAAGAAGACAAGUUAAUGCUAGAAAAUGACAGAUGGAAGAUUAGAUAUCUUUCUUAAUUCAUUUACGUAAAUUAUUAGUUACUUUUUGACUUUUUGGCAAAAUGUCAUUACUAAGUUUUGUCCUUUUGUAGAAAUAAUUUAGGACCUUUGUGCGGGGUGCGGAUGCCAUUACUUUUUUCUACUUUCACAGAUAGGUGUAAAGAUUGUAGGGGGUGCGGAUAACUUGUGUGCUAAAAUAGGUGCGGAUAACUUGUGUGGUAAAAUAGAUCUAUUAUAAAUACAAUGGAUCUAUUUUUAUUUUUGCAUGGAUAUUUCUUAACUUCUCUAAAUAUUUUUAUUUUGAGUUUAUUUAUGUUAGUUUUAUCGAUAUUCAGA